GAUGAACGCUGGCGGCGUGCUUAACACAUGCAAGUCGAACGAAGCAUUUGAUCUGAUUUUUUCGGAAUGAAGAUCUUAUGACUUAGUGGCGGACGGGUGAGUAACGCGUGGGCAAUCUGCCCCAUACCGGGGGACAACAGUUGGAAACGACUGCUAAUACCGCAUAAGCGCACGGAGCCGCAUGGUUCUGUGUGAAAAACUCCGGUGGUAUGGGAUGAGCCCGCGUUGGAUUAGGUAGUUGGUGAGGUAACGGCCCACCAAACCGACGAUCCAUAGCCGACCUGAGAGGGUGACCGGCCACAUUGGGACUGAGACACGGCCCAAACUCC
rnacentral:rRNA from 1 species